rnacentral:rRNA from 1 species
AUACGUAGGGUGCGAGCGUUAAUCGGAAUUACUGGGCGUAAAGCGUGCGCAGGCGGUUUUGUAAGACAGGCGUGAAAUCCCCGGGCUCAACCUGGGAAUGGCGCUUGUGACUGCAAGGCUAGAGUGCGUCAGAGGGGGGUAGAAUUCCACGUGUAGCAGUGAAAUGCGUAGAGAUGUGGAGGAAUACCGAUGGCGAAGGCAGCCCCCUGGGACGAGACUGACGCUCAUGCACGAAAGCGUGGGGAGCAAACAGGAGUAGAUACCCCAGUAGUCC